rnacentral:rRNA from 1 species
GAUGAACGCUGGCGGCGUGCUUAACACAUGCAAGUCGAACGGAAAGGCUCCUGCUUGCAGGGGUACUCGAGUGGCGAACGGGUGAGUAACACGUGGGUGAUCUGCCCUGCACUUCGGGAUAAGCCUGGGAAACUGGGUCUAAUACCGGAUAGGACGAUGGUUUGGAUGCCCUUGUGGAAAGUUUUUCGGUGUGGGGUGAGCUCGCGGCCUAUCAGCUUGUUGGUGGGGUAAUGGCCUACCAAGGCGUCGACGGGUAGCCGGCCUGAGAGGGUGUACGGCCACAUUGGGACUGAGAUACGGCCCAGACUCCUACGGGAGGCAGCAGUGGGGAAUAUUGCACAAUGGGCGCAAGCCUGAUGCAGCGACGCCGCGUGGGGGAUGACGGCCUUCGGGUUGUAAACUCCUUUCGCUAGGGACGAAGCGCAAGUGACGGUACCUGGAGAAGAAGCACCGGCUAACUACGUG